rnacentral:rRNA from 1 species
UCAGGCCUAACACAUGCAAGUCGUACGAGGUGUAAAUAAUUCACUUGUGAAUUGUUUAUUACUACAGUGGCGCACGGGUGAGUAACACGUAAGAACCUGCCUUUUGGAGGAGGAUAACAUAGGGAAACCUUUGCUAAUACCCCAUAAAGCUGAGGAGCUAAAUCGCAUUUGCGGCCAAGAGAGGGGCUUGCGCCUGAUUAGCUAGUUGGGGAGGUAAUGGCUUCCCAAGGCCACGAUCAGUAGUUGGUCUGAGAGGAUGAUCAGCCACACUGGGACUGAGACACGGCCCAGACUCCUACGGGAGGCAGCAGUGAGGAAUUUUCCGCAAUGGGCGAAAGCCUGACGGAGCAAUACCGCGUGAAGGAAGAGGGAUCGUGGUCUGUAAACUUCUUUUCUAGAGAAGAAGAU